AUGGAGUGAUGAAUUCGAGAGCCGAGUGAGGUUCCGUUAAGGCUCCGGUCCGCGGUCCUAUUUGUUACAUCAAAAUCAAAAUAAAAAAGAAUUAAACAAGCCUAUCAGCUAUGAGUUACAAGAUUCCUAUCUAUAAGUAUUCUGAAACUUGAUCUUGAGUCUUAAAUGGUUCUUCAUGCAGAAUCUGAUCUGAAUCUUGAUGCUUGUUAGCUACAGGUGCUGGUUCAUUCCUUUUUCAACUUCUCGGAUCAAGGCGGGACAUGCAAAGCUUGUGACUUCAAUCACGUCUUGAGCAGUCCACAUCUUUUCUCCGCUUCUGCACCUUGAGUUCACUUCUUUUCUUUUUUUCUUUUUCUUUUAUUCUGGAUUGAGACUUCUUCUUUUUGUCAUCUCGAACCAUGUGUCUCGAGGUAUAACCUGCUCAGACAACAAUACAAGCAAACGAACGGAAUUUUUCUGCCCCAGUUUUCACUAGGAAAAUUUCGUGAGUUAUUUGUGACCAAAACUCUAUACUACUUCAUUAUUGAAAAGCAAUAAAAUCAGGAUUGUGUAUCCUUGGAAGAAAGAUUAAGGAGUGGAGACCCUAUAUCUAAAAUAAAAUCAACUAGGUAUUGAAGACCCUAUUGUUAGAAAAUCAUCAACUAGGGAGUGGAGACUCUAUGUUGGCAUCAACUAGAGAGUGGAAACUCUAUGUUGGCAUCAACUAGAGAGUGGAGACUCUAUGUUGGCAUCAACUAGAGAGUGGAGACUCUAUGUUGGCAUCAACUAGGGAGUGGAGACUCUAUGUUGGCAUCAACUAGGGAGUGGAGACUCUACGUUGGCAUCAACUAGGGAGUGGAGAUCCUAUGUUAGCACCAACUAGGGAGUGGUUACCCUAUGUUGGCAUCAGGUUGUGCUGACAUCAACUAGGGAGUGGAGACUCUAUGUUGGCACCAACUAGGGAGUGGUGACCCUAUGUUGGCAUCAGGUUAUGCUGGCAUCAACUAGGGAGUGGAGACCCUAUGUUGGCAUCAACUAGGGAGUGGAGACCCUAUGUUGGCAUCAACUAGGGAGUGGUGACCCUAUGUUGGAAAAGGAGACUAGGAAGUGAAGACCCUAUGUCUAAAAUGAACCAAGAAAGAUUUUUGGUUUUUGGUUUUUCUUUUCUUUUUUUCUAUUGAGAAAAAUUAUUUUCAUUGUUUUUUUUUGUUGAGAAAACCAUUAUGUUAAACAAAUUGCCUCGACUCUUACUUUCUGAGGGCAUGAACAAAUGAAUUUUUUUUUCCUUUUUUUUUAAAAAAAAUCCAGACUUCUUCUUCUUCUUUUUUUUAAUUAUCCUAAGAGAAAAUUCAUCAGACUAUGUUUUUUUUGUUAUCUUAGGAGAAAGAUUCAUUAGACUAAGAUGUUUAUCCUAGGAGAAAGAUUCAUCACACUAGGUUUCUUAUAUUAAGAGAGAGAUUCAUCAGACUAAGAUGUUUAUCCUAGGAGAAAGAUUUAUCAGACUAUGUUUCUUAUCUUAGGAGAAAGAUUCAUCAAACUAAGAUUUCGAUCCUAGGAGAAAGAUUCAUCAGACUAAGUUUUCGAUCCUAGGAGAAAGAUUCAUCAGACAAGGUAUUUUUCUUUUGUUAUCUUAGGAGAAAGAUUCAUCAGGCUAAGACGUUUAUCCUAUGAGAAAGAUUCAUCAGACUAGGUUUCCUAUCUUAUUAUCUUAGGAGAAAGAUUCAUCAGACUAAGAUAUUGAUCCUAGGAGAAAAGUCCAUCAGACUAUGUCUAUUUUUUUUAGUAUCUUAGGAGACAAUUCAUCAUACUAAGAUUUCUAUUUUUUUGUUAUCUUAGUAGAAAGAUUCAUCAGACUAAGAUUUCUAUCCUAGGAGAAAAUUCAUCAGACUAGGUUUUCUAUCUUAGGAGAAAGAUUCAUCAGACUAAGAUUUUGAUCCUAGGAGAAACUUCAUCAGACUAGGUUUUCUAUCUUAGGCAAAAAAUUCAUCAGACUAAGAUUUUGAUCCUAGAAGAAAGUUCAUCAGACUAAGUCCUCUUCUUUUGUUAUCUUAGGAGAAAGAUUCAUUAGACUAAGAUUUUUAUCCUAGGAGAAAGAUUCAUCAGACUAGGUUCUCUUCUUUUGUUAUCUUAGGAGAAAGAUUUAUCAUACUAAGAUUUUUAUUAUAAGAAAAUCCAUCAGACUAGGACUUUUUAUCCUAGGAGAAAAAAUGUGAGGAGCAAUGAUAAUCUUUUAUACAUACUAGCAAGACAAAAUAAAGGCAAAGAUUUGAGAGACUUCCCUUUGUCGGCUCUUCUAUUCUCUUCUUUGUUUUCUCUUUUUUUUUCUUUUUUUUUGAACCACUUUCAUUGCACUUCUUUGUCCUAUUUCUACUAAAGAAAACUUUGUCAGUUUUGAAAGUAGUGGUCGGUUUGUGGCCAUGAUGUCUCUGGCAGCUUGGCUUUGGGAUCAUCCAUCCUUUGGAAGACCAACAGUAUUGGUAGUUGGUCACACUGCUGGGAGACUCUGUUGCUGCUUUCAAGAGACGUUUGCUCUAUAUCAACCAUGAUUAUUUCACUCUCGCUACCAUUUGUAUUUGUGGCUCAAUCAACUGUAACGACCCGAUUGGUCGUUUUGAGCUUUUGCACUUCACUCGUCAGUUCUCGGGCAUGGAUAGCCUCGUGUAAUGUAUUAUGACUUAUGUAAGUCGUUGGUUGGUUUUCAGGGUAAUCGGAUGAAUGUGGAAGAAUAGUUCUCAGUUUGAAGCUUGAAAUUUGAAAGGUUUGACCAAGAUUUUACUUGUUUGUAUAUGAUCUUCGAUCAAAAAUUUUAUGAUUUGGUUAGCUCCGUUAGGUGAUUUGGUCUUAGAAACGUGAUCGGAAUGCAUUUUGGGAGUCCGUGGAAGGUUUAGGCUUGAAUUGGCGAAAUAGAUAUUUUGGCAUUUUCUAGUUGGUAGGUGAGAUUUUGAUAUAGGGGUCGGAAUGAAAUUUCGAAAGUUGCAGUAGCUCCGUUGUAUCAUUUGUGACGUGGGUGCAAAAUUUCAGGCAAUUCGGACAAGGUUUGGUAGACAUUUGGAUCAAAAGCGUAAUUUAGAAGAAUUUGAAAUUCUCAGGCUUGAAUCCGGUGCGGAUCGGGUGUUUUGAUGUUGUUUUGAGCGUUUCGAAGGUUGGAACAAGUUUGAAUGAGGUUAUGGGAUAUGUUGGCAUAUUUGGUUGAGGUCCCGGGGGCCUCGGGUGAGUUUCGGGUGGUCAAUCGAACCAUUUCAUGUUGUUUGGAAUUGUAGAAAUUCAGCUGAAGUGUUGCAGAGAAUUAGACCUUCGCGUUCGCAAGUAUGUCCUCGCGUUCGCAAAGGGUUAGUUGGUGAAGGCUGGAAUUUUAGCCUUUGCGUUCGCGAGGAAGGCUCUGCGUUCGUGAAAGGCUGAGUGUUUGGUCAUCGCGUUCGCGAGUGAAGCUCCGCGUUCGCGUAGAGGAAAGUGGUUAGCUGGUGUUUGAGGUCAGGUUAUUCAUCGCGUUCCCGGGUGAAGGGGUGCGUUCGCGAAGAGUUGUCUGAGGAAGCAUCGCGUUCGCGAUGGGCAGAUCACGAUCGCGAAGAAGAAUUUUUGGUCAAUGUUAUUUUGUGUUUCGCGAACGCGAGGCGUUGACCGCAUUCGCAAAGAAAGAAAUGAGGCCUGGGCAGAAUAUUUACAUAGUUGUCUUGUCCGCAAUUUUAGGGAUAACUUUCACCAUUUUUGGGCGAUUUUGGAGCUUUUUGAGAGGAAUUGAAGAGGGAUUCAAGAGUUAACACUUAGAGGUAAGAUUUUUGAACUCAACACUCGAUUCUUAUGUGAAUUCUACCUAAUUAAUCAUGGAAUUUAAGCCUAGUAUUGAAGAACUAGGGCUUGUAAUUGAAGACCUAGGAUUUGGGAUUUGAGGGGUCGUUUAUGGCCGUAUUUACAUGAAUUUGAUAUAGGUAGACUCGUGAGUGAAUGAGGAUUUUAUUGAUGUGAUUUUUAUCGGAUUUCGAGACAUUGGCCCAUGGGCCAGGUUUGAGUAAUUUCGGGAUUUUUGAUGAAAAUUGAAUAUUUUCGAGUGGGAUUUGUUCCCUUGGCAUAUUUUAAUAGUUAUGUACUGAUUGUGGCUAGAUUUGGAGCAUUCGAAGGUCGAUUCAUGAGGUCGCUAGAGUUUGGAUCGGGUCGAGGUAAGUAAUGAUUGUAAAUGCUGUCCUGAGGGUAUGAAACCCCGAAUUUCACAUCGUUAUGCUACUUUGAGGUGACGCACAUGCUAGAUGACAAGCGUGGAGUCGUGCACCAUUAGGGAUUGUGACUUGGUCCAUCUCGUACGACUGUUAAGUCGCGUAUUUGAUUUGAAAGCUUGUGAUACUCCAUAUUUUAGAGAUUGAUAUUAUAUUUUGGGUUGUAUGCCAUGUUUGGGGCUUUGUGCCGACCUGUUGAGGCCCUUAUGGGCAUUUUCAUUAUUUUUUUCUCACUCUAUUUGUUUUGAAAGCAUAUCCUCAGUCAUGUUUUAUCUAUUAUUUGUUUAAAUCUGGUUUUAUCACUUUACUUCUUAAAAUGUGAAAACCGUUUGAGCUGAGUUCCCUGUUUUAUUGAUGGUCCGAAUGAUUGUGAGGUUGAUGGAUCGGGCUGCACGUUGUUGCUAUACAUGUACAUGAGUGAUGCUUUGCCUAAGGGGCCUGUUUAUAAGCUUACUAUUUUCCACUCCUCCUCAAAGUGAGUUUCUAUCGAAAAAGUUGAUUUAAAUACAGCUUUCACUCAUCUUUAGACCGAGCCUCUAUUGAAACUGAGCCUCUAUUGAAAAUGUUGAACAAAUGCUUUAAACAAUUCUCAUUUAAAUCGAAUUUUUUAAGUUAUGAAAUGGUUAUAAAUUUCUGUUUUGCCGAGGGGGUGAUCAUGAUUUUCAUCGUUUUCACUACACAUAUAUACUUCAUUAAAACUAUAUUGAAAAGGUUAGAAAGAUAUUUUCCAAAGGAUUUUACCGAAGUUGGAAGUUUAACAAAAUGAUUUGAAUGGUAUCUUGUUUUGGGAACAUGUUGUAAUCAUUGUGGUGCUAUGACGUGAUUUCUUACUACUCAGUCUGUAUUUACUCUUAUUACUUACUGGGUUGGAGUACUCACAUUACUCCUUGCACCUUGUGUGCAGAUUCAGGUAUUUCUGAGCUUGGUGGCAGUUUCAUCGGAGUUAGCAAGGUAACUGUCUGGCGAUCGCGGCUCUGCUUUCUCCCUCUUUAUUCUUCCUUAUGUAUUCUUGUGACUUUUCCUGACCAUUUUGGUCUUGAUGUGGUUAGACAGUUGUAGUAGAUGCUCAUGACUAGUGAUAUUCUGAUAUCGGGAUUGUAUGUUAUUUCCGUGUUGUUUAUUUAGACUUGUAUUAUGAAACAUUUGUUUAAGUAAAGGCUUAAAAAUGAAUUUUAAUGAUUAAAGGGUUAAUAUGGGUGUUGUGUCGGCUGGUCUAGUCUUCACGAUAAGCACCAUCACGACCAGGUCUGAGUUUAGGGUCGUGACAUCAACCUUAUCCCGGCUGGAGAUCUUUGCUUAGGUGACCUUUUCUGAUAUCUUGAAUGACUUCCUAUUUUUUGAGCAAUUUAUCUAUUAGAGAGUCACAAGUUAUCUUUGCUUGCGCCAAGUAGGCUGACAAGAGUCUUUUGGGGGAGCCUUUACAUGUAUCCUCAAGGCAUGUUGAAAGUAACAACUGAGUGUGUUGGCCACAUUUACUUUGGUGCAACUGAAAAGCUGGUAGCAGAUUUUGAAAUCUUUUCUUUCUUGUUUUGACAAGGACGGACUCAGACUGACAGACACAAUGAUGCAAAGAAGCAAUAUAAAAAGGAAUGCUUCUGUCGGGAAGGACAAAAGGAAGAUUUUUUUUUUAACCUUUUUUUGCGAUAACUAGCCGUAAUGAUCAUGACAUGCAUUUUGGACUUAAUGGCUUGAUCUAUCAAAUUGACCGAAUCUUCCCUUAUACCAUUCUUGUGACUUUGAAGUCGGGCUUGUUCGUGUCAAUCCUUUGCAUCAGCAUCACGACUCACUUUCGACUAGUGGUGCCCCGAGGGAUUUUCACCAACAAGUCUCUCUCAUUUAUUCAUCUCUACUUACCGUCGCCUUACUGUACCCGUGAAGGUUUUCACUAGUAAGACUCUCUUCUUUUCUUUUCUUUUUCUUUCUCUUUUUCUUUUGCUUUCUUGUGUGAGCAGCUUGACAGUGUUCUAUGUCGCGUGACAACCGUUGCUCAUUGCAUGCUUCUCUUAGAAUUCUUGAAGGCAUAUCGGGAGGUCUUUAUUUGGAAGGUUUUUGGAUGGGGUUGGAAAGAAGGGACGGCAUGAAGACUCAAAAUACACUCAAAAUAAAGGGUUGUAAACUUACAACUCUUGGAAUCGACUCUUUCGAAAACUAAAACAAAUUCAUGCCUCAGUUUUAGAUACUGGUUUUUUUUUUCUUAUUGUUUGAAUUCUUAUUUGGUUGGACCGAACCGUGUAAGGCUGCCUACGUAUCCAUUUUUAAAGGAAUCAGAUAUAACGUAGUUCAAACAUCUAACCUAACUAUUUUCAUCUUUUUUUUUCUUUGUUUUUUUUCAAAACAAGUUGUCCUAGCUUCUAUUUUCUGGGGGCAUGGACAUUUGACAGUUCUUUUUUCUUCUUUUUUUUCCACUUAAACUUUGUAAGAGCUGCCCCAAUUCGUACUCUUGGGGUAUGGACUUUUCUUUCAUUCAUUUUUUUUAUUUUUUUUGACUUUUGACUCUAAACUUAAUUCCAAAAGAGGGUGGUCAAAGAAAAUGAUACAGGCUCAAAAGAGGUAACAAAGGGUAUAAAGUGUUUGGGUAGUAGAACAAGGGCCUCCCGGCCUCGAGAAUGCCAAAACAUAUUAUCUUUUUGCGAUCAUAGCAUUGAUGAACAUGUCGACUUUAUUGGUGUGUCGUGAUCGAAAGACACUUUUCAUCCAUUAAUGUCAAACUUUCGACCAAGCUUCAAUUGAUUUAACAUCCUCAAGCCUGAUCUUCACAAUGAUUUUAUGGUGAAUUUUACUCGACCUUAAUUCCAAAAUAUUUCAAUUCUUUAUUCAUCCUCAAAGUGUCUUGUUCUCAGUUAUCCAAUUCAAGAUUUAAUCAAUUUUCUAAGAUCUGGCCGAAAAUUCCGCAUGCAUGUCAUGUCACUAGAGCUAGCGGCGAAAGAACUAAGCAUAGAAUGACACUAAAGGACAAACUGCAUUUCAUUGAGUAAACAACAAGACAAACAACCUAAAAUCCAAGUUACAACCCUAAAACAACUCGGCUAUUGUAAAUAGCAACAAAACAGACAGACGAGACUCGCACAAACAUAAUAGAGGGAUAGAAGGGUUUGACUCAAUAAAAUAAAUAAAAUCUGGAUCACAACCCUGAAAUAACCCAGAGAAUAAAAAACAUCAAAGCAAGAUGUCAAGAUUUCUUCCUAGUAAGGAGAGAAUGACUUUUCAAUUGCUAAGCUUGACAUUUAGCCACAAAUUUGCUCAUCAGAAUCAUCAUAGCCUUCGCCAAUUUCAGUCGGCAAGUUCCCAAAAGGAUUCUCAUAUUCCAUGUCACUAGGCAUCAUCCCUACAAAGUGUGCAUCAUCAUGUGCAGGUAAAGAAUUCUGCGUGAUAUUUUGGGUGUCACUGUCUUGGAUCACAAUCGGUUUUUCCUGGAUUAUCCUUUCUAUUUCUCUUUUCAAAUCCCGACAACUUUAAACAUUGUGCCCCUAGGCAUUGGAAUGGUAUUCACACCUUUUAGAGGGUCAAAGCUUCUUGCACGUGGGUCUACAUAAUUUGGAGGAAUAUGUGAAAUCAUGUCAUAAUGCUUUAAUUUCUCAAACAAGCUUGCAUAGGACUCUUCUAUUGAUGAUUACCUUUAAACCAUUGUUCCCCUUUAUAGCCCUGGCUUGGAUAUGGGUUAUAGGGCACAUGAAAAUUUUGUAGAGGUUGGUGGAGGUUUUGCGGUGCUCGUGCUCACUUUCUUGGGUAUUUUGGUGGCUGGACAACAUACUAAGGUGGAGCAACAGAGUAUUGUGGGUUCUGAAGUGGAUAGUAGUGCUCAGGGGACAUCGGAAACUAGACGAGGCUGGUCACACCUUCGAGAUGUUCUCCUAGGACCUCUUCUCAGCCCUGAUGUCAUCAUAAUUUCUUCACCCGUCUCAUUUGUGUCACUAAAAUUACCAUAUUCAAUUUGGACAGCCUGAGUUGCAUCUUUGAGAGCUGCUUGACUUAUAAUUCUGUUUGUCUUAAGGCCAUUCUCUACCAUUUCUCCCAUUUUGAUUGCUUCCGAGAAGGAUUUGCCAACUGCGAACAUCAUGUUUUGAAAGUAAUCUGGCUCUUUGUGCCUGAAGGAAGACAGUGAUUAGCUCGUGGUCAUCCAUGGGUGGCUUAACUCUAGUUGUUUGUUCUCUCUAUUUAAUGGCAUAUUCCCUGAAACUUUCAGUUGAUUUCUUCUUCAGGUUUGAAAGGGAAUUGUGGUCUGGGGCGAUGUCAAUGUUGUAUUGGAACUGUUUGAUAGAGUCAUGUGCCAUGUCAUCCCAGACAUACCAGUAAGAUGUGUCUUGAUUCAUAAACCAUUUGGAGGCUACUCCCGUAAGGCUUUCCCCAAAAUAAGCCUUCAGUAAUUCUUCAUUUUCUCCCGCACUUCUUAGUUGAUUGCAAUACCUUUUCAGGUGGGCUAUGGGGUCUCCAUGUCCAUCAUACUUUGCAUAUUUGGGAGUCUUGAAACCAGGUGGAAAGUGGACAUCGGGGAACACACAUAGAUCCUUGAAGGCAAUACUCUUCUGACCUGCCAACCUUGCAUGUUUUUCAACUGUUGUUCUAAGCUUUCCGCUUUUUGGGUCAUUUCUUCCUGUGCCAUCUUUCGGGUAGGCUUCUCAAUCUUUGCAGGAAGAUCAAAUAGGUACGAGUGGUACUCAAGAAAGUGGAACUGUUCGAGCUGGGUAGCAAAUUAUGACUCAUGACUUUUCUUUCGUACCACUAUCGGCUGUGGGAUGGUGAAGAUGGGCAUAACAAUAGUGGUUGUCUGAUUGGUUGUCAAUGGCACACUUUGGGAGCGCGCAAUAGAAGUUCCAAUUGUAGUCGUACAGUUGGGAUAAAGACUAAACUCAGGUUGAUAGGAUUGAUCAGACAAUGGGACCUAAGUGGAAGUAGUCGAGAUGGGUGUGAACUCUGGAAAACCAUGAAUAGAUAAGGGCGGUCCUUGGCCAUUGGCUCAUGUUUGACCCAUUUCAGUCAUUUGCUGCUUCAGUACUCUAUUUUCCUCAACCACAGUAGAUUCCUGUUGAACCCUCUGACCCUAAGCCUUUUGAGCACUCGUAACAACUUUGAUGUCAGUUGUCAUUUUUUCUUGGAUCUUGUGUUGUCAGCUUACCACAAACCGACCACCUCAAACUUUCUUCACAAUUCAAAACAAAAAUAUGUUAGAAUGGACUCAGUCGGUCCUUAUUAUUAUCAUUCUUUCUCUGUUUUUUUACCUUCUUUUCUUCUUCUUUUUUUCAAAAUCAUUUGAUCGAACCUGAUGUGGGUUGCCUACGUAUCAUGUGGAAAAAUGAAUCAGAUCUUGCGUAGUUUGGGAAGAUUAGGAAUAAAGGAAAUAAACUAAAUCUUUUUCUUUUUGAAUUUUAAAUUUUGUUUUGUUUUUUUUAAUUUUCGAAAGAAAGACUUAUAAAGAAGAAAGAAAAUAUUUUUUUAUUUCGAUUUUGCUUUUUUUUUUGGAAUUUCAAAAGAAAAAAUUAUAAAGAACAAAGAAAAUAUCUUUGGAUUUUUGGACUUUUAUGUUAAAAUUAUGAAAGAAAGGACUUCUAAAGCAAAUAUUUUUGAAUCUUGAAUGUUCUUUUUAAUUUUUGAAAGAAAAACUUCUAAAGAAGAAUGAAAAUAUUUUUUUUUGGAUUUUUAGAAGAAACUAAAAGAAAAUAUUUUUGAAUUUUUUAAAAAUUUGGGUCUCAAAGAAACACUUUUCUAAAGAAGGAAGCAAAGAAAAAUAUUUUUGAAUUUUUGAAAAUUGGAGUCGGAAUCGAUGAGGUUUGCCUACGUUUCUCACAUCCGGUGAGAAUUAGACCCCCGUAGUUUUGUCAGUUUUGACGGAACAAGGGAAACAUGACUUUUGAAAACAAUAACUUAUUUUCUUUCUUUCUUUUUGAAAAUAUCGGGAGAGUUUCGGAUUACCUACCUCUCACUCUUGAUUUUUUUUCUAUUUUCUUUUUUUUUUCCUUUUUUUCAAUUUUUUCCCCUAUUCUAACACUCAGUCAACAUGCAAGCCGAAACAAACAGAUACACAAGUAGCACGUAAGAUGUAUCAGGAUGAUUUUUUAAUUUGGGUACACCUGUCCUAGACGGACUCAACUCCUAUGUUGAGUCCCCAAGGUCAAAUGCAUGUGAAGCAAACAAGCGUACCUACUAGGGAUCCGGCAUGAGGUUGUGUUAUUCUAGGUUUAAAAACCUGGGUGUAUUGUGCACUUCCCAGAAGAUUUAGAAGACUCAGAGAGAAGAAGGGUUUCAUAACAGUUUAUAUACAGUUCAAACAAUAUCAAAGCGGUAAAAAGCGGCAUUUAGCACAUUAGGCUCAAAAACAUAAAAAAUCAUAUAAUAAACAAAAGUCAACUAUAACAAUUAUUCUAAGCUUGAAUUCUGAACCCUGAACCAGAGAUUCUAAGUUUUUUUCCCCAGUAGAGUCAUUAGAACUGUCACACCUCCUUUUUCCCGCAGGAGGAUAUGGAGUUUUUCCAAUUAAAGUGACAUUUAUCGAAAUGGGACUAUUUAUUUAUUCAAAGUCGCCACUUGAAAUAUUUAUGGUGUUCCAAGUCACCGAUUUAUUUUAAAUCCCAAAUUGAGGAAGUUGACUCUUAUUAAAAUCUGCGAAACCAGAAGACCGGGUAAGGAAUUCUGUUAACCCGGGAGAAGGUGUGAGGCACUCCCGAGUUUCGUAGUUUUAGCACGGUCGCCCAACUAUUAAUAAUUGACCUAAUUAUCUAAUUAAUUACAUGUUUUAAACCUAUUGUACAUUUUUAACUUUCUAACCGUUUUUAAAUUAUUUAAAAUAAUUAUGGAAUUUGUUUGAACAAGUAGCGAUAUCGCGCACUCAUUUGUUUUUGUACACAUUGCGAAUUGCGUCACUGGAACCGUAUCCACGAUCUACAACAUAUUUAUUUUAUUAUUAUUCGAAGUUCUGGUCGAGUCACGUGAAACGCACGCUCGAAUUGGGAUUUAUGUAUCAUGACCAUGCCACGGGAACCGUACCCAUAGUCACGAUGAUUUAUUAUUAAUCGCGCCUAAAGCAAGCUACGAUGUUCAUUAAUUAUUUUCCUAAAAGAUAAUUUGAGAUUAUUAUGAGGCCAUGACUUGUGGAUAAGAAUUAUGGGAGAAAUGUAAAAAUACAACUAUUUGGUAUUAUUAACAAAUGAUCUACACUUAUAGAAUCAAAUACCGAAAGACGUCACAAAGAAUCCUCAGAAGAAAUAGCGGUCAACUUCUGAAUCUUUAAUUAUCAAACCUUUCUAAUCUCAUUAAAUUGUUUCCUCAUAACCUUCACAUACAAAAUCAAACCUUAUAAAAUCAUACCUUUUAAAUGAUUCCUUAAUAACUUUAAUAUGUAUAUUCUCUACAUCAACGCAAAUUAAAUGAUCAACUCAAGAUUACAUUUAUUUAAUUGACUCCAGUUGACUAACCAAUUGUUCCAUUUCGAAACAUAGAGAAUGCAAAUUGUUCCAUUUUUUAAUAACUUUAAUCUGUAUAUUCAAAAUUUCAAGAAUGCAAAUUCAUUCAAACCAAAAGCACUAAGGUAGAACACCAAAAAUUCUUGAAUUAAUUAAAGAAAUGAGAUAGAAAGGGACCUCAAACAGAGUUUCGCCUAUUAAUGAGAAUCUCCAACUUUACAAUUUCUGUUUGGAUGCAAAAUUGCUACGGAAAGCGACGAAGACCGAAACCUGAACCACGGACGCCUGACGGACCUCAAAUUGGAAAGAGGGAACAACGAUCUCAAACGGAAAAUCUCACCGGAAAACUCGAAUACCUCAUAAAUCGGGAGGUUGGGCAUGGGACGGAAAGAUAUCUUUUUCCAUUUGCGGCUGGUUCUGGGUUGAGCUAUGGAGUAUUGCGUGGGAGUGUUGUUGGUUUAAUUUGGAGAUGGAGAGAAAGAGAUGGUUGAAAUUUUUUAAGGGGAAGUGUGGGGGGUCGAGGUGAGAGCUUCAGCCAAAAAAAUAGGGAAAUGGCUGCUGCUUCUUCGAUGAAGAAGAAGGGGUCGUCUCUGGAUGCUGCCUAGGGGUGUUCAAGAGUGAAGAAGAGGAAGUUCAGGGGGUGUUUUUUGGGUUCAAAAUGAUAGAAAUGGCUGGGAGG
rnacentral:lncRNA from 1 species